CAGGAGGGCGACUUCCAGCGGGUGUCCCGCACCGGCACGCGCAGCGGAGAUUUAGGUUUCCGGUCGCGAGUCCCGGGGCUCUCGUCCGCCCACAGCCUCACCCUUCAGCAGCCAGUGCGGAAGCUGCCGCAUCGUCACCGUCGCCAUCACCGUCGUCAUCAUCAACCAAACGCCGCCGCUAUCCGACGUCCCUAGUCUGUACCAGCUGUCGUGGAGUGUCCCUCACCGCUCCAGGAUCCCGCAUCCCAUUCAGGCGCGCGUCCCCCAGGUGCGUCCUGGCUGGGACUUGCCUCUGACUGACCUGGUUUCCGGAGACCCGGCAGUUCUGGGAAGUGCUGGGCAGAGACAGGUCGCAGACUGCCCGGCUGAUGGCCUUGUGGGUUUGGGGAGGAGACCACAGAGGCAAAGCGGCCCUCUCCUCUGUGUGGCGGGGGUCGGGGCUCUCCGUGGGACCCACGGAUGUGGCCGUGACCGCCUGGCUGAGGUGCAUUUGUCCUCGUUUUCGCGCGCUCGGUGCGGAGGAGCACCGUGGCACAGGGCAGGCACUCCGAUUCGUGUGCACAAGUGUCCUGCCGGCGCUCGUGCUGCGCGAGCAUUUCCGUGGCGGUGUGGACUCGCAGGCGUCUCUCCAGUCCGGCAAUGCUCCUGGUCUUGUUGCCCAAAUCAGUCCAGCUUUAGCCACAGGAGCCACCUUCAGCUUGCGUGCCUCUGAUGUAGCCCCUUUUGUGGGGGAGGUUUUGUUUCCAGCGCUACCCAGCAGGGCACCGCCAACCGGGGGCUUAAACAACAGCCCUCGAUCCCUCAGAGUCCAAGAUCCAGAUGCCGACAGGGCUGGUUUCUCCUGAGGCCUCUCCGUGGCUGGCAGAUGCCACCUUCUCCCCCACGUCUCACGUGGCCUUUCUCUGUGCACUCACCCAUGCUGUGUCUUCCUCUUCUUACAAGGACACCAGUCCCCUUGAAUCAGGGUGCACCCUUACGACUUCAUUUAACCUCAAUUACCUCCCAAAAGGCCCCGUCACCAAAUACCGUUGCAUUGAGGGUUAGGGUUUCACCUAUGACAUUUGCGGGGAAGGGGACACAAUUCAGUCCAUAACACUAGUACUAGAGGAUGCCCCAGUAUCGUCUUGCACAUGCAACAUCCCAGUCCUCAUAUCAGCCAUUUCCCCAACUGGCCCUGGUUCCUUGUCUCGGAGAAAGGUAUGAGAAACCAAGAUCUGAGUGCUGGGCAUUCUUCUUGGUGUCAUUGCUUCUCCACUGACAGAGCAAGGAGGUACGUGUGUGUGUGUGCUAACCCACAUAUACACACACAUCUACAAGUAGUUCCACGUUUCCCCAUAAGUACCUAUAUUUAGCAUGAGUCCCACACCACGUGGAUCGACCUACCUUGCCCCUUGCUUCUCUGUCAGCUCCCACUCCAACAGUGCAAAACCUGACCCCAGCACCCACCGCCCUCCGACACAAUCACUCAGUCCCAGCGCAGGGGCUGUGCUUUCAGAAUUGCUGACAGGUACCCCUUGGGAACUACUUGACCAAUGGCAGUGCGUGUCCCGUGACGUUCCUUCUGCCCUUCCAAGUGGCCUGGCUCAGCACCGUGUCCCCAGCCCCUGCAUCUGGUGGCUUCACCACUUGUGAUGCAGCCAGAUUCCUCUCUCAAGCCACCCUGACGUCCUUCACUCCUGUAUGAUUCUCGAAAGUGUGCAUACGGUAAAGCCUGUUCCUUCUGCUGGACAGUCUAUGGGCUUUAACAAAUGUGUGGUUUCACGUGUCCGGUGUUCCAGUAUCACACAGAAUAGUCUCAUUGCCCUAAAAACCCCAUGUGUCAUCCGUCCUCCCUCCCACCCUGGCCACCACUGAUUUUUACUGUCUCCAUAGUUUGGUUUUUCUAGAAUGUCAAAUAAAGAGCCCGUAGCCACUGUAAA